GGUGAAGUUUUUCGAUGAGAAGGCGAGUGGGAAAUCAAAGGGGUAUUGCCAGGUUGAGUUUUUUGACCCUUCUGCUGCAACUGCUUGCAAGGAAGGGAUGAAUGGGCAUGUUUUUAAUGGGAGGCCGUGUGUCGUUGCAUUUGCUUCACCUUUUACCGUUAAGAAAAUGGGGGAGGCUCAGAUAAACAGAAAUCAGCAGAUGAACCAAUCUGCUGUUCCUCAGGGAAGGAGGGGGCCUGCUGACGCAGGGGCUAAACCUGGUGGGAGUAAUAUUUCAACGGGUGGUAAUUACCAAGGUGGAGAGGGGAAUAGAGGUUAUGGAAGAGGAGGAGGUAACUGGGGGAGAGGAAACAAUCCUGGUAUGGGGAAUAGAGGGCCUGUUAAUCCAAUGAGGAACAGGGGUGGUGGGAUGGGUGGUAGAGGUAUAAUGGGCCAUGGUGGAAAUGGAUUUGGACAGGGUAUGGGUGGUACCCCUCCAAUGUUGCAUCCUCAGUCAAUGAUGAAUCAGGGUUUUGAUCCUGCAUUUGGUGGUCCCAUGGGCAGAAUGGGUGGCUAUGGAGGCUUUCCUGGUGCUCCGGCGCCUCCGUUUUCGGGUAUUUUGCCUUCAUUCCCUGGUGUUGGAGGUGUUGGUUUGCCUGGAGUGGCACCUCAUGUUAAUCCAGCCUUUUUUGGAAGAGGGAUGCCUGUUAAUGGUAUGGGGAUGAUGCCCGGAUCAGUCAUGGAUGGUCCUAAUAUGGGAAUGUGGUCGGAUCCAAAUAUGGGUGGAUGGGGUGGUGAAGAGCCCGGUGGUGGGAAGGCUGGAGAGUCCAGUUAUGGGGAGGAAGCUGCUUCAGACCAACAGUAUGGUGAGGUGAGUCAUGAUAGAGCUGGGUGGCCUAUGAGGGAAAAAGAUAGAGGUUCGGAAAGGGACUGGUCUGGUUCUUCUGAGAGAAGGUACAGAGAUGAUAGAGAUCAAGGAUAUGAGAGAGAUGCAUCUAGAGAAAAAGAUAUGGGUCAUGAUCAUGAAUGGUCUGAAAGAAGGCAUCGUGAUGAUAGAGAAACGGGCAGAGAACGAUCCCGUGACCGUGACCGUGAUCGUGAACGAUCUCGAGACCGUGAUCGUGACCGCGAAAAGGAUCACCGUGAGCGUGACAGGCACAGAGAAGAUAGGGAGAGAUAUGCAGAUCAUCAUAGGUACAGAGACCGGGAAGCAGAGCACGAUGAUGAGUGGGAGAGGGGACGGUCAUCAAGGACUCACAGCAAGUCACGAUUAUCGCAAGAGGAGGAACACCAUUCUAGACCAAGAGAUGCUGAUUAUGUGAAGAGGCGGCGGCUUACUUCUGAAUAACUUUGUAUGCUUCCUGAUAUUUCUCUGAAUGCUUUCCACUUUGGAAGGGAAAAAACAGUAACUGAAAAGUCAUGAUUUGUCAUUUGCUUGAAUUCUCUGGGGCCAGAUGUUGUUGUGCAGCUGUUUUAUUUCAUCACUUGUUCUAAUUGCUUCUUGUUAGGAGCAUGGUUUCUUUCUUCUCUGAGAAAGGUUAGUUUACGACUUCAAUUCUUAGCCUGCUAGUGUUAUUCGAUCUCAAUUUGGGAUAUGAGCUUACUGCCGGCUAUGUGCAUUAUGAUGAAUAAUACUAGAUGCCUCUGCUUUUUUAUGAACUUUCCUAUUGAUAUAGAACCAAUUGUAAGUUGCGAUUUAGUUUUAACCAUAGAUGACAUGACAUCAAUUUAGAGAAUAGUAUUGUUGACUGUUUAGAGUUUUUAGCUAGUAGAUUCCUGCAGGCUUUAAAAUAUUCUAACUUCCUACUCAAAGGAAGAAUUAACAUGUUUGAGAUCAAGCCUUGUAAAUUUUGGAACAUAUAAUUUUGUCAAAACUAAACCUAGUAGUAUAAGCUCAGGCAUCCAAGUAUAGCCAACAAAUCAGAAACUUAAAGUUCAAAUGCAUUUGGAUCUUAUUUUUUCUUCUUUGUUAUUCCUGGUGUGAUGCUGUAUUGUUUUCAUACCUCUCAGCCUUUGGACCAGGUGGAUGUUUGACUAUGGAUUCUGGGUGUAAUGGAAAUCUAUAUGUUGUCUGCUAAGGACUUUAUGGUUAUGAUUAUUCAUUUUUAUUUUUAUUGUUAGGCUAAUUAUGCAAACUAAAGGAGUUUAUAAUCUGGACAUAGGUAUGUUUGAUUUCCAUUCUGGUUUUGUAGCUUCUAUGUGUGCAUACUACAACUAGUAACUAGUUUCCCAUGAAGUUCAGUACAGUUAUUAUCCCCCUCCCCCCUUGACCUUUGUUGGUAGUAUAACUGUGUAAAGAUUAUGUUCUAAUAAGUGGUAUAUCUACACUUGAAUUAUGUGGUUAUAUGAAAGUUCUAUAUUCAAAAGUGAAUGUCAUUAUAUGUGGUUCCAUUCCAUAUAUUAUGGCUACAUGUUUUUAGCAGAAGAUAUUUUGAUUUUUGUGAUGAGCAUAUACUAUAUAAACAUUGAAGCAUGACUUUAUGGAAUUUUUUAAUCAAGUUUUUAUGAUUUUAAACAUUGAAGUUUCAGAUAAUCUGUAAUUGCAUGACUUUCUGGAUUUGCUGAAUCUACUUUUUCCCUCAAAAAUUCAAAAUUACUAAGAACACUGCUUAACUUCCUAUAUGGACUGUAUUUUUCAACACUUAUGUCAAUGUAUUUGUUUGAGAUUAAGUUUUUGUAAGUUUUUCCCUUAAAAAUACCUAGCCUAAGCUGUAGUAGAAUCUUUGGACAUGGAUAUGAAAAGGGUUGAGAAAUUAGGGUCGUUCUUGAAUGAUUUGUAUUGUUGAAAACGAAAUUGUGGGUUUUAGUAAGGCAACUGCAAAAAGAGAUUAAGGAGAAUCUCACAAUUGUCCUAAUCUAUUAUGCAUCAUGUCCUCCUCCUAAGGCAAAUAUUUUUUACGUAUUCUAACAUCAAUAGUUCUAAUUUUUUGUUAUAUGCAUUUCUAUGGUCUAAAACAUUGGUUUGCAGUUUUCCAAAGAUUAAAGAUUGUGUUGUUUGCUUUUGGGGUCAAUAUAUUUUAUUCUCACCUAUAAAUCAACUAAACUUAUGUGUGCUUGUUUAAUGGAAUUGAGGAUUUUUUUUUCCAUUUUCAUUAUGCCUGCUUUACCUUCUUUCAGUUAAUGCCUUUUGAGUUGCAAACAAUUAUCAGUGUUAUGGGCUUCUGUUUUGUGUAGGGCAAUUGUUUUGAGAAAGGAAACUGUUCAUUCAAACUCUGGGUUGUGAUGGGGAUCAAGCGUUUUCUGUGUUGGAGGGUCAAGUCAUGACAAUCCUUUUCUUACAUUCAUACAUUGAGAAGUGGAACUUUUGCUAUGAAGUAUUAGCUUUUGAUUUGAAUGUAUGUUUCAGUUAUUAGCACAUCAUUAAUUAAACCAUCGAUGUUGAUGUAAUGGGUUUAACUUGCUGAAGUCUGAAAUGUGGCAGUAUUUAGAACUUAUUGUUUGAAAUGUGUACUAGGAUUUAGCAGAGGAUGUUGAUAAUGUGCCGUUUCUGAUUGGCUGGCUGUUGUAUCCUUUUUUUCCCCUCCUUUUGGCUUGGCUGUUGUAUCAUUUCAUUCCCCACCUCUUUUUUUGUUGUUUUCUCCCUCACAUUUUGUUAGCAUAGCAGCGGUGUAGCAUGCAAAUAUUGUGUAUGAUGUAGAGAGCUAACCAUUUGAUCACUGUAAUCAUUCAAAGCUGGAGAAUUGUACGUGUUUUCAUGUAUAUAUUGAUAUUAACUUUGCUGAUAAAGGUCGAAUCCAGCUCCAGUUUUGUUUUAUGGUCUUGUCAUGUUUAUACAUCUAGUCUAAUGGAAUCCAACAGUUGAGAAUUGGAGGGCCAUAUUGUUUUCAUUUCCGUGGUCUCUCUUUGUAUCUUGAAUGCUUUUUAUACAGAGGAGGAUAUCAGAUUUUUCACUUUUUAUAGAAACAAAGUUUAUAUAAAUUUUUUAUAUAGUAUAUGUAGAGAAAUGAUAGUAACAUUCUCUUGACCCAUUUUUUACGCAUUCUUUACUGUUCUCGCUGAAAUUUGUCGAAAAAGCUUAAAAUUGUGAGGUGUCAUUCCUUAUUUAUUGAAUACCAUUUAUAAUUUUGUAGUUUUUAAGAAAUUGACCAAUAAGAGUGUUGAAAAUAGUGUUACAAUGAGUUGAUGAAAAUGUUAGGAACUCAUUUUCUGACACAUUUUUUUACUGGUCAAAAUUUUUUAAAAAUAAUUUUCUGUGGAUUUCAUAUUAUAUUUAAUGUUUAUCCCUCUUAAUUUUAUAUUUUUCAAUAAAUUUUAAAUAGUUAGAGAGUAUGUUUUUGAAGGAGUGUGAUUCUAACACUCCUCUAGUCCUCUUUGACUCAUAUAUUGGCUUCUUUUUUCAUACCUUAUUUUACUCCCAAAAGUAUGGAUGAAAUCUAGAAACUGCUGAAAUAAAUUUGUCCCUGGGAAUAAUCUUUUUCUGUGGGGGAGAGGUCAUGUUCAAAUAUUGUGCCUAUUUUCUGUUAGACAUUAAAUCUGUUUCCUAGGGUUUAUUUUAUGUCUAUUUGAAGACAGAUAGUCACAAUCCGAAUACGAUUUUAGUAUGUUAAAUUUGGCAUGGGAUGAUUUAUUUAUUCUUAUCCUUAUUCUUUGCUUCCAACUCUUCUUUAGAAUAGUUAAAAGUUUUUUUUUUCUUUUUUCUCGUAUCCUUUUUUACUUCCAAAAUAUAAUUUGAAUGUAUCCCGUAACCAUUUAAAAGUGGUCACUUUAGGUCUCUUGUAUCUCUUGUAUGAUAGUUUGUGUUCUCUUUAUAUGAAUUGUGUGCUUUUUUUAGUUGUUAACAGAUUGACAAGUGUAUUAAUUUUAUCACAAAUAAUAAAGAUUAAAACGGAAGAUUGAGUAUCGAGUCCACGGGAACUUUGUUUGUACUUAUGUUGGUAAAUAUUUAAUUUGUAAGCAAAAGAAGUAGAAGAGAAAUAUCUAAUUUGUAAGCAAAAGAAGUAGAAGAGAAAAGGGAUUACAAGUGUGAAAAUUCGGGGUAAAAGGAAAAACAAAAAGAUAGUAAGAAAAUAAACAAUAAUUUAAAUGUAAAAGAUGAAGUCAGAAUGUGAUAAUGUUGGGACCUAGCAUGUCUAUCUACCCUUGAUGCAAUAUUAAUGUUUUUAUCUAUUAACUGUCUUUUCAAUUUUCACCCACACCUACUAAUAUGUUCAACCUUGAUCUCUCAUGAUAAAGAGCCUAAUUUAUGUAUUUUCUCUCCCAAAUCUAUUUGCAAAGAUUGAAUCAUAAACAACAUUAAGUAUGAAAAUGUAUGCACAGGUACAACAAAGUCACUCUAUUUCUAGUAAUGCAAUGUUGAGAUGUCAUUUCUCAGUUCUUUAGGCAUUAUCAUUUUUCAAUGUAUAAUCCCUAAAAAUAAAUGCAUGGAUGACCAAAUCACAUAAUAGAGAUUAAGAGUAGAAAAAAGACAAUAGAAAUUGAAAUUGCAUUAAUAGAUAAGAAGAACAGUUACACUUCAAGGGCAUUAACGGCUAGACUCCAGCACAAGGGGUUAACCUCUCAUAACCAUGAAAGGCUUUACACUUCAGAGACUAAUAGAAGAAGGGACUGGAUGACUAGUAAUAAGAAAAGGAGGAAUGACUAAGAAAAUGGGUUUUCUCUAAGGAAUAGGCCCAGACUUUGGAUAGUUCUGAGACUCGGUGUAUCUUUCCUUUUUGAUUCCUCCUCCUUAUAUAGGCUCCAAGUAGCUUAAUUUUCACGCUGACUUCGCGCUUAGCGUGGACUUUCACGCUAAGUGCGCCUUUGAGCUUCGUUGUGGACUUUUCCACGUGUUAAGCCUGAGUUGUGUGCUAAGCGUAGACAUGUGCUAAGCCUGGGUGGCGCCCUAAGCGAACUGUCCAUUUCUUUAAUUUUUCUUCAAUUUUUCUUCAAGGUUUUUUCUUCCAUUUUUUUCCUCAAUUUUUCUUCAAAACACUUGAAUUCUUCUCUUGACUUUAAUAAUAAAAAAUUGCAAAGAUGUUAAUUUCUUCAUUUUUCCUUAAAAGCACUAAUAAAGUAAAGAAAUUAUACUCAUUUAUUAGCCAAAAUUGACUAUAUAAUUAGCUCAUAUUUCGCAGUUAUCAGUAGUGAAGAUAAUUAUCUGUGUAAGACUUAAUUGUCUUUAUUAUUUUAUAACUAUGUUUAAGAUUUAACUUUGAGAGAGCCUUUGAGUGCUUUGAUGGAGACUGCCUAUUCAAAUCCAUUAGCAGCCUUUUUAUUUUGUUGUUGCCCAUGAGUGGUUAUUCAGGAAGAUUGAUCAUUGAUUUAUUUUUGGUCUAUAUGUUUCCCUUUUUGAUGUCCCCGAAAAUGAAAUGUUUCUUUUGUGAGUUUAAUUAGUUAUAGUAUUUGUUUUGGUUUUCACCCCAUCUAGUCUUGUAAGGGAAAAGUUUAAAUUUUAAAAAACAAUGUUCUAUUAGAUACAUACCAACCUUUGUAUCUAGAAAGACUUUUAGAUACACAGAAGAAAAGAGAUAGGGGUAAUAAUGUUGUAACCCCUCAACACAAUUCCUAACAUGAUAACUAGCCUCCCUCUGUAUGUGACAAUUUGCUUUAUAUGUUAUUCAUUCUUGCAUGGUGACGGAGAUAUAAGAUUAGUCUUUUCAUUGAGGAAGGGUGAAGGGAGAAGAAAAAGAUAAGUGGUAGGUUUGAAUCUCUCAUACUAAUACUUUUAACAAAACUAGCAAAUGUGAUUGUGGAGUUGACUUUUAUGUAGUAUCAAAUUAAUUAAUUUGAUUAACCAGUUGACUUUUGAUUAGGUAAAAAAAAAGCCUCAUAUAAAAAAUAUUAUUUCCUUUGGUUCUAUUUUUAAGACUUAAAUUAAAAAUGAUAUUUGAUGUUUUUAUAAGACUUGAUUUAUAAUAUUUUUUGUAUUUAUUAUUUUUAUACUAUAAUAUUUAUAACUAAAUGAGAGGUUAUAAUGAUAAAUAAUUAGGAGAGAGAUAUGAAUAUUAAUGACGAUAAUAGUUUUUGAAAAGGAAAAAUUUCAAGACAUUAUCAUGAAUUAAAUUAAUCAUUUUUUAAUAAUAAUGAAUUAAGUAAUUGAGUAUUAUAAAUUGGACCGUAGUUUAUACUAAAAAAGUUUAGCUUAGUUGGAUAAAUAGAAUGCAUGGUUGUAAAUUUUUUAUACUUUCUUUGAUUAUCACGUAUAACAAAAAGUCUAGUUUUGGUAUUAUCUUUAUAAUAAUUCCAUAGUUUGGUCGAUCACCCUCUGUUAUGUCUUUGUAAAAUAAAUAGUAAAAAAUCAUGCGGCAUUCAACACAACUAAAACUAACUAUUACAUUGGAUAAAAAGGCUUUUAAAAAAAUUGGAUAAAAAGAUAGUUAACAAUGAAUUAUGUUAAACUAUGAUAUAUUAUGCUUAGGUUAAAUUAAUUAUUUAACUUCUAUACUUGAGACGCAUUUAUGAACUAAUCUCUAUAUGAGAAAAUCCUAAAUUUUGGUCCUUAUAGGAAGUUAAUAUUACAUUUUGUGCCUACUAUCUGACUUUGUUUUAAUUAAACUAAAUGAAUGUUGACGCAUGCAACAGAAGUCUUAUGUGGUAUUAUAGUUACUUUACUAAAACAAGUUUUAUGUUCCAUAAAAAAAAGUUUUAUGUUUUAGUCCUCACAUGAAACUAACAUUAAACUUUAGUUAUUAAAUGUUUCAUUAAUCUUUGUAUAAAAAUGAUUUGAUUUGCUUAAACAUUGAUCUUGUUUUCCUUGGACCCGUUUAAUUUGUUAAAAUUAAUGGUACAAGGCAUUACAAUUGUUCCAUGUUUGAUUUCAAAAAAGUUUAUAAGAGAGCACAAAGGUAACAAAAAUGGACAGUAUAAAACUUCAAUUUUUUGUUACUCAUUAAAACCAAUGCACAACUUUUUGUUCUGAAAUUUAUAUAUGUUUAUAUUUGUGUUUGUAUGUUUAUAUUUUUAUUGUGCUAAAAUUUAUAUAUUAUAACAAUUUUCCAUUAUAUAUUGACAUAUAUAUAUAUAUAUAUAUAUAUAUAUAUAUAUAUAUAUAUAUAUUAAUUUUAGUUUAAUGAUUUAUUUUUUGUCUAUCUAUAUCUAUGUAUUGGCAUUCUUUAAUUUUUAAAUGAGAUGUUAAGAUUUUUUUGCAUUGAGAAUAAUUUAAAAUAAAUAUGCAUAUAUAGUCUUAUUGUUUACGGGAGAUAUCCCAAAAGCAGUUUUCGUAUAUUAUGAAAAAUGAUUAUAUAAUUUAUAGUUAUUAAUAAAAAAUAUAAGUAUUAUAAUGUAGUAAACAUACAUGAUUAUGAAAUACUGCAAGUAAAAUAUUAAAAAAAAAAGCUUCAACAUCCUUUAAAAUUUUGACUCAUUAAUUAAUCAUUCAACUUAUAGAAACACCCAGUAAAAUAUCUAGAUUAGUUUAAAUAAUGCAAUCAUUAUCAUCAUCUAUUCUCUAUAAUAAAAACUUUGAUAUCUGAUAUAUCAUACACUACAACAUUUUUUGUCUACAGAAAUUUUAAUCAAGAUAUUCAAUCAAUUACCACAACAAAUAUUAAAUAUUUAAUUUCUGCAUUAUUCUUUGAAGAAUUGCACCAUUGCAUUAGAUUUAACAUUCUCAAUGGAUAUUUGUAAGAGUCUAUGGAACAUCUAUAAUCCUAACAUUACAAAAAGUUACAACAAAAACACAAUGAUUAUAAGCACAUAGCAUUUUGAAUUUUCUAGAAGGCUUUAGAAACAAAAAAUUUGGAAAAAAAAUGACGACAAAUGUGUGUGAGAAAAGCUUGAAAUGAAGUGUCGAGAUUUUCAAACCACGAAAUUAAGGGAGCAACACCAUCAAACCAUGCAACGGAUACCACCCACAACAGAUCAAAUAAAAAUUAACUAUGAUUCAUUGGUGGUGACAAGAGUUGGGUUGUAAUGCAGGAUGCAACAGGUACAGUUACUAUUGCUGCCACAAAAUUUUCAAAUCGAAUCCCCUCUUACCCCUCCUUCCUCUCCAACCAACAAUAUUGUUUGUGAGUAUGCAACUAUUUAUAUUUAAUAGAAAAUGUUGCUUUAUAGUAUAAAUCAUAUAUGUCCACCAUAUCAUUGGAACAUAGCAUCAAUUAUUGAAAGCACCAAAAAAAUAAAAUCAAAAUUAAAAGAAAAUAAAGAAACAUGUGCAUUUUCUCUUUUGCACCAUCAAACACAAUUAUUCUUGAAGUGAAAAGUGUUUGUUUGAACACUAAAAUGUGAGAGCAUAUCACGUUGGUACAAAAUGGGAGACAAUACAUACUUCCUGAAUAAUUUGCUUGGUUAUUGAAGCAGUAGGUGUUUCCUUGGCAAUGAAUUGGGUAUUUGAUCGAAAUUUGAGAUCAAGAAGGAUGUUUCAAUUUUCUCUUUUCUGUUCCAUAAGAGAACCCAAGUAGUGAAGAAGUGCAACAAAGGAUAAUGAGAUUUCUUCUUGAAUGCAAUGUUCUCCCUUCUCCAUUUUCUGAGUGUUUAACAAUGCAAAUGAUCUCAUGAAAUAGCCACCCACAUUUCUUCAUUUAUUUUUCUUCAAUUUUCUUUAAAUUUUUAUCUGCAUCUUUUCCCUUCACACCCUCUUUUUCUCAAAUUUGCCUGCAACAAACAUACAGAUAAAGGGGUUACUCAAUUUCAUAACUAAUAUUAGUUAUGCAAUCCAAUAAAUAAUGUUAGUUAGCUAAUUAAGAGAUAAGUAUGGUUACUCAAUUCAAGAGAAUGUUAGUUAAAAAAUUAAGAGAUAAAGAAUGUUGAAUCAUCAUCCUCUUUUCCAAUUCAAAUUUGCACAUAUAAAAAAUUAUAAGUAUGCAGAUGCAAAUAUGUAUUUUGGACAGUGAUCCCACGUCAACCAUACCCUCAAUUACUGUUUGUUUGGAGUUUUAGGGAUCUUAAUAAAAUACCAAUAAUCACAGGAAACACAUUACGUUAGAUUAUCAAGAGGGGUUGUGAAAAAUAUCUGGAUCCAUGAUAAGCAGCGGAAUUGAUGAGUCUGAGGAACUGUUGGUUUUGUGUUCUUCCUCAACCAAAUCAUUGUUUUCUUUUUGGGACCUUAGGUUUCUCGUCAGAUGGGGAGAAGAGAAUCUAUUUCUAAUUUGGUGUGUUGGGAACCACAACCAUGCUUUCGGUUUUAACAUGUUAGAGUUCUCAUUAUUCUCUAACGGGCCAAACUAGUUUUCGCUUAUCAAGCCCAUAUCAAUUUUUUAUGAUAGUCCAAUAGGCUCACCAAAUUAUAUCACUUUUAUUGAGCUCAUAAAUGUAAAUAACUAAUAUAAAUGAUAAAUAUAAUAUGUAGCUCACACUAAUUAAUUAAUUAGGAAUUAUAAAAUUCUUAACAAUCUCUCACUUGAGCUUCAUAUUAACCUUAAUCAUUUAUAUUGCAAAAGUCUUUAGGCGCGCAACCAUAUAUUAUUUACUUUUAGACUUUCCUUAAACAAUCUAGUUCAUCUUAUAUAGUAACACAGAACCAUUGUAGUUUUCCUCACAAUCCAACGUGAUUGAGUCACAAUGAUCACCAAUGUCACAUAUACUUGAUGACAUAGAUCAAAUAUGGAUAAGCGGCAUGAAAAUAACAUGCAAUGUGAUCUCAUUCAUGUUCAUUUCCAACUAGUCCAAACUUUAUUCUUUAUAGAGAUCAAACCAAACACAAUAUAAAUAUUGCAAACAAAACAAACUCAUAAUGAAAUGAUAACCUCCAACUUUAUUUUAUAGAAAAUCAAUUUAUACAAAUAUCUGAAAAACAUAAGGCAUAUACAGAACAUAAAUGAGACUCCCACUAAACUAAGGUACUAUAAGGAGUCACUCCCAUAUGAGCAGUGUGCUAAUGAAAAACUUUAGGUACCAAACCUUUCGUAAGUGGGUCAGCUAACAUAUCAUUAGUCCUUAAAUGUUAUAUGAAAAUUUGUCUAUUCUGAACUCUUUCUUUAACAACCAAAAACUUGAUGCCAAUAAACUUUGAUUUGGUUGCACUCCUAUUGUUGUUGGAGUAAAUAACUGUUAAGUUAUUGUCACAAUAAAUAUUUAAUGGUCUUUCAAUGUCGUCAACCACACGCAAACCAGUGACAAAAUUUCUCAACCAUAUCCCAUGGUUGGACGCCUCAAAACAAGCAAUCAACUCCACGACCAUAGUCGAAGAAGCCAUGAGAGUCUGUUUAGCAGACUUCCAAGAGAUAGCUCCUCCAGCCAGCAUAAAAAUGUAUCCAGAUGUGGAGUGUUUGCUAUCUUGACAUCCAGCCAAAUCAGAGUCUGAGUAUCCAAUGAUCUCAAGAUUCUCAUACUUUUGAUAAGUGAGCAUGUAUCAUUUUUUUCUCUUUAGGUAACGCAUAACACGUUUUCCUGCAUUCCAGGAUUACUCAAAUAUCUACCCAGAACUCCUACUACAAAUGCUAUAUCGAGACGAGUGCAAACUUAAGCGUACAUUAGACUUUCUAAUGCUAAUGCAUAAGAAAUAUUUUGCAUCUCUAUUCUUUCAAGGUCAUUAUUGGGGUGUUGUUUGAGACUAAAUUUGUUUCCUUUAGCUAUCUGGGUAUCUACUGGUUUACUAUCUUUCAUGCCGAAUCUAUCUAGGACCUUAUCGAUAUAACUCUCUUGUGACAACCUUAGGAUGCCUUGAGAGUGAUCUCUUAGUAUCUUGAUUCCUAAUACAAAAGAGGCUUCCCCAAGAUAUUUCAUCUCAAAAUUUUUCGUCAGAAAUUUCUUAGUCUCUUGUAAGAAGCUUAUAUCAUUGCUAGCAAGCAGUAUAUCAACGACAUAUAACACCAAGAAUGAGUAUUUACUCUCACUAAACUUGUGAUAUACACAAUCGUCAACUGCAUUUGCCUCAAAACCAUAUGAGAUAAUGACUUGAUGGAACUUGUAAUACCAUUGAUGGGAAACUUGUUUCAAACCAUAGAUGGAUUUAUUUAGUUUGCAAACCAUAGACUUUGACUCACCUGAUACAAAGUUUUCAGGUUGCAUCAUAUAAAUUGUUUCUUCAAUGUCACCAUUUAGAAACGCAGUCUUAACAUUCAUCUGUUGUAGCUCUAAAUCAUAAUGAGCUACUAGUGUCAUUAUUGUUCUAAAAGAAUCAUUUAAAGAUACUGAAGAAAAGGUUUCUUUAUAGUCAAUGUCUUCCUUUUGGAUAAAUCCUUUAGUGACUAGACGAGCCCUAUAUCUCUCGACAUUGCCCUUUGAAUCCCUUUAGGUUUUAAAUAUCCAUUUGCAAUCAAUAGGUUUCACACUUUCAGGCAAUUCGACGAGAUUCCAAACGUCAUUUUGCAACCAAUAGGUUUCACACUUUCAGGCAAUUCGACGAGAUCCCAAACGUCAUUGUCUUGCAUAGAUUUCAUCUCAUCCUUCAUGGCAUUGAUCCAGUUUUGAGAGUUAGAACUACGCAUGGCUUGACAGAAGUUAAUUAGAUCAUCCUCUAUUAAACCAUUGUCAUCCUCAUGUUCUUGGUGAAAGAUAAUAUAAUCAUCAGGGAUUGCACUUCUCCUAUCUCUAUUAGAUCUCCUUAAUGGCACUUCUUGAGGUUGUUGAGGUUGAUGUAUUGGUAUUUGAGGAGGAACCUCAUCAUUGUCUUCUUCUUGAACAAUGUCAUCAACAUAGUUUAAACAUUGUUUUCUAUUACUAGAGUUGUUUCUUGAACAACAAUAGGUAUGAGGACUUGACCACCGUCAAUAACAGGUUCUUCCUCAAAGACAACUUUUCUUAUGUUCUCUUCCUUCCCAAACUCAACUUCCUCAAGAAAUCUUGUAUUUCUCGUUUCAAAUAUUGAUCUUAAAGUGGGAUAAUAAAACUUAUAGCCCUGAGAGCGUUCAACAUAGCCAACAAAAUAGCAGUUAAUUGUUCUUGAAUCUAGCUUUCUUUCAUGUGGCCUAUAAGGCCGCGCCUUAGCCGGACAACCCCAAAUAUGUAAAUGCUUAAUGCUUGGCUUUUUGCCAGUCCAAAGUUCAUAAGGGGUUUUAUUAACUGCUGUACUUGGCACCCUAUUAAGGAUGUAAGCUACGGUCUUUAAGGCUUCUCCCCAAAGUGACUCUGGCAAAAAAAGAAUGACUAACCAUACUUCUCACCAAUCCUUAAGAGUUCAGUUUCUUCAUUCUGCAAAUCCAUUCAUGCUAGGUUUUCCUGGCAUAGUGUAUUGCGGAACAAUUCCACACUCUUUGAGAAAAAGCGCAAAAGGUCCUGGACGUUGUUCUCCUGAUCCAUCAUAUCUACCGUAGUACUCACCACCAUGGUUAGAUUUGAUAGUCUUAAUUUUUUUUCCAAGUUGAAGUUCAAGUUCAGCCUUGAAACUCUUAAAAACGUCUAGGGAUUGAGACUUCUCAUGUAUCAAAUAAAGGUAACCGUAGCUAGAGUAGUCAUCUAUGAACGAGAUAAAGUACUGUUGCCCAUUCCAAGAAGGUGUUGGAAAAGGAUCACAAAUGUCCGUAUGUAUCAAUUCUAAGAUGUCUUUAGCUCUUUCGACACCUAGUUUCCUUAUGUUUGUUCAUUUUCCCUUUAUGCAUUCAACACAGAAUUCAAAGUCUGAUAAAUCUAAAGGUUCAAGAAUUUCAUGAGUAAAUAAGCAUUUUGGUCCCUGACUUUUGACCCCUUUUGCAAAUUAGUCUCCAUCUUUUUUAAAUGUUAAAAAUAGUUCCUAUCUUUGCAUAAGUUUUGAAAAAUAGUCUUUGCCGUUAAAUUUGAAAGUAACACCGCUAGUGAGGUCCAUUGUUUGCAAUUUUAGUGCUACAUAGACUAUCCAACGUGACAAAUUGUCCUAGAUUAUGACACGUAGACUGGACUUUGAUGCAAAAUUUAAAAAGUUAUCAAAUAUUUUCUUCUUCACUUGCUUUUUCUUCCUCAAAUUAGGGUUUCUAAAAAAACAGAACCCAAAUGGAGCCUUAGUUAUUUCAUUCACAAGACAUCAAAAUGUAAUAACUUGUCCCCCUGCUCCCUUCAACGGGAAAAAAAAAGUAAAUAAAAAAUUCUUGGAAUCACUUGUUUGCAUCUUUGUGAUGUAUAAGAAAAUUUAAGUUCUUGAAUGCAGUGACAACUAGUUGUUGAAUGGUGCACUUCAUGAAAGGAACAUUUAAGUAUAGAGAGUUUCAAGAAUUUUUAAAGUAAAGAUAGCUUUCUAGGAGUAUUCUCAAAAGGAAAAAGAAUCGAGAAUAUACAAAAUUAAUAAGGAAAAAGAAAUAGAAAACCUUGCACUAAUGGAAAUUUGCAAUUGAAUAAAUUGGCAUUGCUAAUAGUUACUUGAUAUCUGCAUCUUCAUAAAAUUGAAGGCAAAAAUUCAGGUUACACAAUUUGGAACCGCACAUAACUUGUUCGAAAGAAAAGGAAGGGUGAAAAGAAAUCAUACGAAAUCGAGAAUAUUGAGAGCUUCACGAGAGGCUUGGUGUUCUCUACCGCCAUCACAAGUGAUGAAAAAACCUUGCACGCCUGGCCACAGAGGGUACGAACCCUUCUUCUUCACUGCCUCCUGGAAAAAAAAUCAUGAAAACAACAACCUCAUAACGCUCUAUUUUUUUAGAAACCCUAAUUUGAGGAAGAAGAAGCAUGUGAAGAAGAAAAUAUUUGACAACUUUUUAAAUUUUGCAUCAAAGUCCAAUCUACAUGUCACAAUUUGGGACAAUUUGCCACGUUGAAUAGUCUAUGUGAUACUAAAAUUGCCAACAAUGCACCUCACUAACAGCAUUACUUUCAAAUUUAACGCGAAUGACUAUUUUGCAAAACUUAUGCAAAGAUAGGGACUAAUUUGCAAAAGGGGUCAAAAGUCAGGGACCAAAAUGCCUAUUUACUCAGAAUUUCAUCCGACACAAGUCUCUGAAUUCUCUGUUUAGAGAUAUGACCUAAGUGUUUGUGCCAUAAAGUGGCUGAAUUCUCUUUUAAUUUCCUUUUUGUACCACGUGAAUUUGUUUGCAGUAUUUCAUUAUAGGAACAAUUAACAUCCAACAUAUAUAGAUUAUCAAUUAAGGAACCAGAAUCAAUCAAAUUCGAAUUCUAGUAGAGACUAACUUUAUUAUUUCCAAAUGAACAAGAAAAACCAAAUUUGUCCAAACUAGAAAAAGAAAUUAAAUUUCGUCCAAAAGAUGGUACAACAAAAGUCUCAAACAAAUCCAAAUAAAAUCCAGUCUUUAACUGUAAUCUAAAAGUUUCUAUGGCCUCUACCGUAACCUUUUUGUCAUCGCCAACAAAUAUGAAUCUUUCAUCAUCACUUGGCAGUCGGCUCCACAGACAACCCUGCAUGGUUAUACUUAUGUGAGUAGUAGCACCAGAAUCUACCCACCAAGUAUCUUUAGGUACAAAAGCUAAAUUAACUUUAGAAUAAACAAGAGCAAGAGAUUUACCUUUCUUUACAUGCCAUGUGACGUACUUGGGACACUCUUUCUUCAUGUGUCCAGACUUCUUGCAAAAGUAGUAGGUAAAUUCCUCAUCUUUCUUUGAUUUCUUUUGCUGAAAAGACCCUUCAGCAACACCCUUAGUUUUCUUUCUUUUCUUAUUCUAUGAGGUGGAGCUUAAAUGAACACUUUCGGAUCUGUCUCUCUACAACCUCUCUUCCUCUUGCACACAGUGAGAUAUAAGCUCAUUAAGGGACCAUUUGUCCUUCUAAGUGUUAUAACUCACUUUGAAUUUCCCAAAAUGUGCACGAAGUGAGAUCAAAACUAAAUGCACGAGCAGGUCUUCACCAAGCUCUAACUUAAAUGCUUUCAGUUUAGAUGCCAAGUUAGAAAUUUCCUUAUGUACUCCCUUGUAUUACUUUUUCCCUUAUACUUAAUGGAGAUGAGUUUAGCCAAAAAGUUACUCGUCUCCGCCUUCUCAUUUUUGGUAGAGUACGGUUCAAUUUCAUCAAUAAAUUUCUUUGCAUUUUCACCCUCAGAAAUAGAGCCCUGAAACGCUUCUGGAAUAAAGCGCUUCAUGAUCAUAAUGCACAUUCGAUUGGAACAAUCUCAUUUCUCAAUUUUUACCUCAUUGGAGGCUUUCGGAGUGGAAGUGGGUCGUUCCAUUCUAAGUGCCAAAUCCAAAUCCAUACCGCCAAGAAUAAUUUCUACGAAUUCCUUCUAGACCUUAAAAUUUGUCCCAUUUAGCAUAGAGAUAUUGUUCACUUGAGUAGAUACAUUUGCAGAACUAGCAAUAGAAAUUGAAUAAUAAUAAUAAAAAUAAUUACAUGUUCACAAAUAAGCCAAUAAGUUAUAUAUAUAUAUAUAUAUAUAUAUAUAUAUAUAUAUAUAUAUAUAUAUAUAUAUAUAUAUAUAUAUAUAUAUAUAUAUAUAUAUAUAUAUAUAUAUAUAUAUAUCUAAAUAUAUAUAUAUAUAUAUAUAUAUAAAUUUAUUUGUAACACAUAUAUAUAUAUAUAUAUAUAUAUAUAUAUAUAUAUAUAUAUAUAUAUAUAUAUAUAUAUAUAUAUAUAUAUAUAUAUAUAUAUAUAUAUAUAUAUAUAUAUAUAUAUAUAUAACAAGACAUGUGCAAAAUAGUUCACAUAACAAACCCAUCACAAGAUACCCAGCACAACAUUAAUUCAUAGUCUUUGGAUAGAGAAAUUAAUUUGGAAUUAAUACUCUCAAUGCAAUGAUCAAAUAUUAACAAUAAAUUCUAUUAAAUCAUAGUCUUUCUUUGGACCGACUAUAAUUCACAUGAAAAUACCUUAUAAUUAUCACACAUUUAUCAUCAUAGGUACAAAAUUAUUUAGCCAAAUUGUGUCUUCCUUUGGGCUGAGCACAAUUCGUAUAAAUAAUUUUAUACUAAUACCUAUGCAAUUUUAAUUAAAUUAAUUUAUGCAAUAGAGAUUGCUUUGACAAUAUAUAUUGUUUCAAUCAACUCAAUCAAAAUUACCAGACAUAAAAAAGAGAAAUAAUUUUGAGAGUUUGUAAUUUCUGAAUUUACACCAAAAUAUAAUGGGAAUCACUAAUUAAUACACAUAAUUGACAAAUAAAAACAAGGAAAACAAAAAUAAAAUACAAAAGCCAAAUUGCAUUUAAUGAUACGCAACAUGGGUUUUCUUAUGAUGAUAUAAUAAAGCCAAAGAUUAUGUAUCACAUGUAUAUCAUGUCAUGGCAUGGAUUCAUGGCAUGCAUAAGGAAACAAAACCAACAACCAUAUGAAAAAAAAAAAAAACAAACAUGUGAACAAGAAACAAAAAAGGAUGACUAUUCCGGAGCAAGAAAAAAAAUAGUUUUUCUCAUUGAAUCCGAACGCAAAACAUGAACGUGUAUAUGAUGAUUAUUAUAUCGUGAUCGAAAAGAAAAAAAUAUUCCAAACUUACAAUCAUAAUUAUAAUUGCAAAGCUAAAAUCUCAAAAUAAAAUUAGGAUUCAUGUAACAAAAUAAUACAGGUAUGACACAAACCAAAUAACUUUAAUUCUCAAUAAUCUAACAAUAAUGAAGGCUUUGAUAUCACUUGUUGAGAUUUUAGGGAUCUUAAUAAAAUACUAAUAAUCAUCGGAAACACAUUACAUUAGAUUAUCAAGAGGGGUUGUCAAAAAUUACUUGGAUCCAUGAUAAGCAGCGGAAUUGAUGAAUAUGAGGAACUAUUGGUUUUGUGUUCUUCUUCAACCAAAUCACCGUUUAACCUGUUAGAAUUUCAAUUAUUCCCUAACGAGCCAAACUGGUUUUCACUUAUCAAGUCCAUAUUAAUUUCUGAUGAUAGUCUAAUAGGCUCACCAAAUUAGAUCACUUUUAUUGAGCCCAUAAAUGUAAAUAACUAAUAUAAAUGAUAAAUAUAAUAUGUAGCUCACACUAAUUAAUUAAUUAGGAAUUAUAAAAUUUCUAAUACUAUUAAUGAAACAAAUACCAAAAUAUUGUACUUAAUAAAUGUAAAAUCUAAAGUGAAAAGAAGAAUGAUAAUCUAAAACUUUUGAACGAAUUAAAGCACUAAAAAUUAGAAGGAAAAAAUCAAUUAAAGAAAAUGAUAGCCGAGUAGAAUGUAGAAUCAUGGAAUGAAAUGUCAACCUUAAAAUUGACCUUGAGAGCCUACUCGUCCUUGUCAAAAUUUCAAGGACAAAUAUAUCUAUGACGUUUAUAAAGAUACCAAAAGCCAAUUUGGCCAUCUAAAAGGGUUAAUAAAUCAUGGAUAGUAGUAGAUGCAUUUUACUUUGCAACUUAGCUAAAUUUUGUGGAAUCAAUUUGUAAUUAGGCUAAUUAUGGACCCAUAUUUUUGGUCUAGGAUUUAGUUAACCCUUAUUAUACUUUAUUUAAACAUCUCUUUUAGGAUCAUAGAGACAUGACUACUUAUUUUCUUUUUAUUUCCUUCUUUUGAUAAUUGUGUGAAAUCUCCAUGGAAGACUAUAUGCUUUUGGAUCAAUGUACCUAUUUAAGAUUUCUUUUAUUGAUCAUGAGAUUUAGUUUUAAUUUUUUUUCAAUUCAUUGAUACAUUAAAUACAAAACACUUGCAUGGCCAAUUUCGCCUAAUAAUCAUAGCAAUGUGACAAUUACAUUCAUCACAAGCAAAAAGACAACAACUAAUCACAAAGAACUUAUUCCAUUUUAUGUUGCCUAAGGAACUUUAAAGUACAACCAUACUUCUUCUUUGUCUAAUUAGAAGAUCCCUUUUUCAUCACCUACUUCAUCUAAAUACCACUAAAAGAAGUUGCAUCUAACUACAUCAUGAACAUGUUAUCAAUGGAAGUCGGAGUUGAAUUAGUUAAACUUAAACCAAUGUAUGAGCAUGAAUAAAACAACUUAUUUGGUAGUACCUACAUAUGUAGAAUUUUUGGCCAUGAUUGGCUAGUGUGAAAGUCAUACUAAGAUAUGUCAUUUCCAACGAUCAUUUUCAAGUUCCACCCUCAAAGUCAUGUGAAUCCAUUGAUUUCUCAAUGUAUUUGAACGACAAUGACACAAAAAUGCUUCAAUUGUCAACAUUUUAAGGAUAAAGUGCAAGAAUCGUAGAUUUAUGGAUGAAAUUUACAAUGCUUAAAAAAAAAUUCAACCUUGCAUUAUAUUGGAAAAAAAGCUCCAAUGAGGAUAUUCUUAGCUACCAAGGAACACACAAAACUUCCAUGGAGUAGAGUAGUGGUUCUUUAAUUUGCAAAUGACAACGCUUUCAUUCGUUGUCAUCUUUGUAACAUACUUUCUUCCUUAGCACCAUCAUUUUCAUCGCCAUGUACUUCAUUUGUUAGUUAGCUAGUAGGUUUUUUUAUUGUCACGAGAAGAUCAACCUCAUGAUAAUGGUGAUAAUGUUGACGAAUUAGAGCUUCUACUUUUAACUUGAUGAGAUAAUAGUGGCAAUCCUUCUCCGCAUGCUUAAUAUUAAAUAGAUAAGUUCACAAUCGUUACAAGAUGUCGUAAUUAUCGUUAACUUUUUAUUGGAGAAAAAUCGUUAACACAUGUAAUAUGCAAAUAUGGAAUUACCAUUAUUUCAUAUCCUACAUGUGUUUUUUUUUUACCAUAAGUUAUCAUGAUGAAAAAUGAUGUCAUUUUACCAUUGGUUGGUGAGUAUGAUGUGUUUGGGUGUCUUUGCCCAAGGCCUAUGGAAGAUUUGCUCUUGGCAAGUGUAUAUGAAAAGAUACCGCAUUAUCUAGCUUGUGACUAUUAGAUUUGAUUACAUUAGUUCCUAAACAAAUCGCAUAUUCUCUCUCUUCUCUACGCUGCGUUUUCAUUUCCACAUGCUUGUACUCCAUUUUUUGUAUCGCUCUUCACUGCAAACCCUAAUUUGAAGAAGCAAAAGGAAAAAGACCCAAAAAAUGGACGAAGGCGAGGGAGGGUACGGUGAGAGCGGCGAUCCCAUGGAUCAGUUCCACCGUAACGAAGCUAUAUCCGCCGUCGCCGACGAGGGUUUCUUGGGCGAGGAAGAAGACGACGAUUACGAGGACCUUUACAACGACGUCAACGUCGGCGAAGGGUUCCUUCAAUCGUUGCGCAAGAACGACGAUUCGGGGUUCCGAAACGACGAGGUCGAAGAAAAGAAGCCUCCGCCGCCGCCGCCGGUUCCGGAUGCCGCCGGGGUUUCGAUUCCGGGUGUCGGUGGCGGUGGAGGAAGCGGGGUUGUGGAAUCUAGGGUUUCGGGGAGGGUUGAUGGGUUUCAGAAUCAAGGGUAUAGAGGGAACGAGGUGGGUGCCAAAGGUGGGAUUAGGAUUGAAUUAGGGAACCAAUCUGGAAAUUUGAGUGAAAUUGAGGAUCAGGGUGGGAAUGAUGGUGCUGCAAUGCAGGGGAUUGGACAGCAACCUCAUGGUGGGGUUGUUGGGAUUGUGGGAAAUGAGGGUUUGGUGAGACAAGGUCAAGGUGGUGUUGGUGGUGGUGGAGGAGGAGGGAAUGUUAAUAGGGUUGGUGGAAAUGGUGUUGGAAACAGUGUGAGUGCUGUUACUAGUGUUAAUACUGGAGGAGUUGGAGGUGCUGGUGGUGGUGGUGGUGCUGCCGGUUCUGGUGGUACUAUAUUGUUUGUGGGUGAUUUGCAUUGGUGGACUACUGAUGCCGAGCUUGAAACCGAGCUUAGUAGGUAUGGGCCUGUGAAGGAGGUGAAGUUUUUCGAUGAGAAGGCGAGUGGGAAAUCAAAGGGGUAUUGCCAGGUUGAGUUUUUUGAUCCUUCUGCUGCAACUGCUUGCAAGGAAGGGAUGAAUGGGCAUGUUUUUAAUGGGAGGCCGUGUGUCGUUGCAUUUGCUUCACCUUUUACCGUUAAGAAAAUGGGGGAGGCUCAGAUAAACAGAAAUCAGCAGAUGAACCAAUCUGCUGUUCCUCAGGGAAGGAGGGGGCCUGCUGACGCAGGGGCUAAACCUGGUGGGAGUAAUAUUUCAACGGGUGGUAAUUACCAAGGUG
rnacentral:lncRNA from 1 species